UUGACCUCGAAUCAGGUAGGGAUACCCGCUGAACUUAAGCAUAUCAAUAAGCGGAGGAAAAGAAACCAACAGGGAUUACCUCAGUAACGGCGAGUGAAGCCGGNNNNNAACGUGCGAGUGAAGCGGUAAGAGCUCAAAUUUGAAAUCUGGCUCCUUCGGAGUCCGAGUUGUAAUUUGUAGAAGAUGCUUUGGGUGGUAGGUCCGGCCUAAGUUCCUUGGAACAGGACGUCAUAGAGGGUGAGAAUCCCGUAUGCGGCCGGAAGCCUGUGCCUGUGUAAAGCUCUUUCGACGAGUCGAGUUGUUUGGGAAUGCAGCUCAAAAUGGGUGGUAAAUUUCAUCUAAAGCUAAAUAUUGGCCAGAGACCGAUAGCGCACAAGUAGAGUGAUCGAAAGAUGAAAAGCACUUUGGAAAGAGAGUUAAACAGUACGUGAAAUUGUUGAAAGGGAAGCGCUUGCAACCAGACUUUGGGCGUUGGUGAUCAUCCUGAGUUCUCUCAGGUGCACUCGGCGACGCACAGGCCAGCAUCGGUUUGGGUGGUUGGAAAAAGGUCUUGGGAACGUAGCUCCUCUUCGGGGGAGUGUUAUAGCCCGGGAUGCAAUGCAGCCAACCUGGACCGAGGACCGCGCUUCGGCUAGGAUGCUGGCGUAAUGGUUGUAAGCGACCCGUCUUGAAACACGGACCAAGGAGUCUAACAUCUAUGCGAGUGUUUGGGCGUGAAAACCCAUACGCGGAAUGAAAGUGAACGUAGGUGAGAACCCAAUUUUUAGGGUGCAUCAUCGACCGAUCC
rnacentral:rRNA from 1 species